GGCCUCGUAGCUCAGUUGGCUAGAGCGUUGGCUGUUCUAAAGCCUUCCCCUUGCUGGCGUGCGUUCGAAUCCUACAGAGGCCA
rfam:Schistocephalus solidus strain NST_G2 genome assembly, scaffold: SSLN_scaffold0007078